rnacentral:rRNA from 1 species
GACGAACGCUGGCGGCGUGCUUAACACAUGCAAGUCGAACGAAGUGGCGAACGGGUGAGUAACGCGUAAUCAACCUGCCCUUCAGAGGGGGACAACAGUUGGAAACGACUGCUAAUACCGCAUACUGAAGGAGGGGAUUGCGUCUGAUUAGCUCGGUGGAGGGGGAACGGCCCACCAAGGCGAUGAUCAGUAGCCGGGCUGAGAGGGUGAACGGCCACAUUGGGACUGAGACACGGCCCAGACUCCUACGGGGGGCAGCAGUGGGGAAUAUUGGGCAAUGGGCGAAAGCCUGAUCCAGCCAUGCCGCGUGUGUGAAGAAGGUCUUCGGGUUGGGAAGCUCUUUGAGUUGGGGGGCGGUACCGGAAGAAAAAGCCACGGCUAACUACGUGCCAGCCGCCGCGGUAAUAC